GAUGAGAACGCAGCGAAAUGCGAUAAGUAAUGUGAAUUGCAGAAUUCAGUGAAUCAUCGAAUCUUUGAACGCAUCUUGCGCUCCUUGGUAUUCUGAGGAGCAUGCCUGUUUGAGUGUCAUUAAAUUCUCAACUACACUGACUUUGAAUUGGUGUGGCUUGGAUUUGGGGGGAAAAUUGUUGUGGGCUUUUUGUAUAGUCUGCUCCCCUGAAAUUGAUUAGCGGUACCUUUGUGGAACUGUCUACAGGUGUGAUAAUUAUCUACAUCUGCUGGAAUGCUGCUUUCUAAACCUUACUUGUAUUGACAAUCUUGACCUCAAAUCAGGUAGGACUACCCGCUGAACUUAAGCAUAUCAAUAAGCGGAGGA
rnacentral:misc_RNA from 1 species